UUGUCUGGAUGAGCAAAGAAAGUGGUUUUUUGAGAUGGAGUCUACUCCUGGUGAGGAUGCUAUAAA
rnacentral:pre_miRNA from 1 species